UUACAAAAGUUUACUUAAGUUUAAUCAGUAACCUAAGUUAUGAGCAUCGUGUUUAUUAAAGUUUAUGUUAGUAUGGGUGUGGCAUUUUCAUGACCAACACGCACAUGUAUAUUUAUGUUAUCAAAUAAAUUUACAGUACCAGCUCAGAUUGCUAUGGCCGUAUCUGAGCAGCCAGUUGCUAGCGGAGAAAGCGAGUCUGGAUAUUGUUCUAGUUUUUCACCAGUUUUGUCCAGUUUCUGUUCAGUUUUUGUUCAGUUUCUGUUCAGAUUCUGUUCAGUUCUGUUCACUGCGUGAAUAAACGGCAGUAUUAUC